rnacentral:lncRNA from 1 species
GAAGUCUGUGAAAAGAAGUCAGUGAACUUCAGGGAAUAUCCUAAACCUUACACCUGAUUGCAUCCACAUAUGCAUUGGACUUGAGCUACUUCCUCAAUGUUGGAAAUGCCCUUCCAAGUGUGAGAUGCUUCUCUUGACCUGCACCAAGGUAGAGACCAGCUUCGACUUGGGCAAAAAGUGAGGGGUGCUGAACACUCUACAAGCACUGCAGGCUGGAAGGCAGGAAAUUACUGA